ACCUUCACCCAUGGUCCGGAGAGCCUAGCGGGGCUCGCCACCGCCUCCCGGCUCCCCUUCCACGCCUCAUCCUGCCAGCCUCGCCGCCCCGCCAGCGCCGGGCAACCGCCUCGCCCGAAGCCCUCCCUCGUUACUGUCCGCAUACCCCGGCGGCGCCGCCGCGGGAAGCGGCUCCCCCGCACCACAGCCCGGCCGGCGAGACCCCGGCCAGACCCCGCUGCCCGCACAAAAUGUCGGCCCGGACGCCAUUGCCGACGGUGAACGAGCGGGACACGGAAAAUCAUACAUCUGUGGAUGGAUAUACUGAACCACACAUCCAGCCUACCAAGUCGAGUAGCAGACAGAACAUCCCCCGGUGUAGAAACUCCAUUACGUCAGCAACAGAUGAACAGCCUCACAUUGGAAAUUACCGUUUACAAAAAACAAUAGGGAAGGGAAAUUUUGCCAAAGUCAAAUUGGCAAGACACGUUCUAACUGGUAGAGAGGUUGCUGUGAAAAUAAUAGACAAAACUCAGCUAAAUCCUACCAGUCUACAAAAGGUAUUUAAUUAAUUUAAUAAGUAAUUAAAAUGUGAGUUUAUCAUUAAUAUGUGAUGUUCUGUAAAAUCAGUCAUUCUAAAUUUUCUAUUAGGUACAAUUCUACAUUUCAUCAAUAUAAGAAGAAAAGACAUAAUAUAAAAUGUAAUGUUUAUGACUUACCAAGUAGUUGCUUGAAAACUAUCUACUACUUAAAUACAUGUAGUAUAUGAAAGAAAUGUAUCUCUUCUAUUCAAUAGAAUAAAACCUUGUGUCAUACAUUUUGAAGUAUUCAGGAUUUGAAAUAUUCAAAUAUUUUGAAGUAUUUUCAAGUAUUCAGAAUUGACCUCUGAAAAUUAGACUUAUAUUAAAUGAAUAAUCCAUUUACUGAUAAUAUCUGGUGCCUUAGCUGUUAUAUAAAAUGACAAAUGGUGGUGACCUAAGCCAUUUAAACUUUUGUGAGUUUUCAGAUAAAGUCCAGAGACCUUGCUGAUAAGCUUCUUAAUUAAAAAUCUAGUUAGAAGUUAAUAUUGUUCAUAGGUGAGUUUCCUUUUAUUGCUUCAUUUGCUCUUCUUCCUUCUUCCACAAGAACUACUAGUCUUUCAGAUAACUCACAGUACAAAAUAAGAAUGUUUCUUUAAAGGAUUGAAAAUAUGAAACAACAUAGAGAGAAAAGAAAGCAGUUAGGAAGGGGAUUGCCUUAGCAAACCAAAGCUGUUUCACGUUACUUCAUUAAUUACUUAAAUGGGAAAAUUUUCUCAGAUGCACAUUUUAGUACUUUAAAAAUGAAGCAAAUGUUUUAACAUUUAUGCUGUAUGUGAUAGGUUUGUAUAGAGUGAGAGAAUAUACAUUGUGACUUUUAUUAGAAUAUAAUGGGACCAUUGUCACAUAUGUAAUUUUAAUACAAAUGACUUUGAAUUCCUAAAACAGAAAGAAUCUUAUAAGAAAUUGUUAGUAUGUGUGCUUACAUCUGCUAUGAUUAUAGCAUUAGAUUAAAAAUUUAGAUUUGUGAUAUUCAAACUUUCUUCUCAUUUGGCUCAGUCCCAGAUUUCUUCUUAGAGCUCUGCCUUUGUACUUAUCGGAGAUUCUUUUGAAAAUUUGACAACCAGUAUAACUUUUCAUAACACUGAUAUUUCUGCCCAGUAAGAACAUGAAAACUUUGCUGGGUUCUUCUUUUUCUGUGAAUGUGAGAUAAUGUAUUAUGGGUCUCUUCUUGGAGAAAGUCUCUUCUUUUAGCACCAGUCUUUUUGCUAACCAUGAUGCCUUUGUGUAAGUGAGAAAAAGACAUCCUACCUGGACCAAUUAACUAUGCAAAGAUGCUGUUUUUUACUGGGCUGGAACCACAGUAGGACAUAUCUUUGCCUACCCCUGUGCUGGGAACCCACUUAAAAUGCACAAACUGGGUAAUUGUACACAGUGUCCCUGUCCAUGGCCCACAUAGCUUUUCUACUUUUCCUGGAUUUAGUUGUGGGUUACUCUGGCAAAUUGAGUGAUUUUUAAGUGGCAUCUAGAACUACUCAGGCCUGUUGUGCUAGCUGGAAUACACAGCAAUGCGACUCCUACUCUGUCUUUCCCAAGGUUGUAUAAACAAAGUUGUACUUAUUGAAACAUGUGAACAUGAAACUGAAUGUUGCUUUCUUUAUCUGAAUAACUAAAACGUGUACUUGAUGAUGAUAAGUAAUUUCUGUCAUAAAAUCUACUAAUCUUGUUGAUAAAGUAUUGCUUUUCCAAAUAGGCAUAUAAAAAUGAUACAAUUUUGUUUUCUUUAACCCGUGAAAAUAAAGAUGAAGACUCACU
rnacentral:lncRNA from 1 species